rnacentral:rRNA from 1 species
AGUGAACGCUGGCGGUAGGCCUAACACAUGCAAGUCGAACGGCAGCACAGGAGAGCUUGCUCUCUGGGUGGCGAGUGGCGGACGGGUGAGGAAUACAUCGGAAUCUACUCUGUCGUGGGGGAUAACGCAGGGAAACUUACGCUAACACCGCAUACGACCUACGGGUGAAAGCAGGGGACCUACGGGCCUUGCACUCUACGAGGAGCCUAUGUUUGAUUAGCGAGUUGGUGGGGUAAGGGCUGACCAAGGCGAUGAUCAGUAGCCGGUCUGGGAGGACGACCAGCCACACUGGGACUGAGACACGGCCCAGACUCCUACGGGAGGCAGCAGUGGGGAAUUUUGGACAAUGGGGGCAACCCUGAUCCAGCAAUGCCGCGUGUGUGAAGAAGGCCUGCGGGUUGUAAAGCACUUUAGGUGGGGAGGAAAAGCAGAGGGUUAAUAAGCCUUUGUAUUGACAUUACCCACAGAAUAAGCACCGGCUAACUCUGUGCCAGCCGCCGCAGUAA